rnacentral:rRNA from 1 species
GUGGCGACGGGUGAGUAAUGUAUAGGGAUCUGCCUAGUAGUGGGGGACAACAUGUGGAAACGCAUGCUAAUACCGCAUAAUCUCUACGGAGGAAAGUGGGGGACCAUUCGUGGCCUCACGCUAUUAGAUGAACCUAUAUCAGAUUAGCUAGUUGGUGAGGUAACGGCUCACCAAGGCGACGAUCUGUAGCUGGUUUGAGAGAAUGAUCAGCCACACUGGGACUGAGACACGGCCCAGACUCCUACGGGAGGCAGCAGUGGGGAAUAUUGCACAAUGGAGGCAACUCUGAUGCAGCAAUGCCGCGUGUGUGAAGAAGGCCUUAGGGUUGUAAAGCACUUUCAAUAGGGAGGAAAAGUUAGUCGUUAAUAGCGGCUAGCCGUGACGUUACCUAUAGAAGAAGGACCGGCUA